GACGAACGCUGGCGGCGUGCUUAACACAUGCAAGUCGAACGGAAAGGCCCUGCUUUUGUGGGGUGCUCGAGUGGCGAAGGGGUGAGUAACACGUGAGUAACCUGCCCUUGACUUUGGGAUAACUUCAGGAAACUGGGGCUAAUACCGGAUAGGAGCUCCUGCUGCACGGUGGGGGUUGGAAAGUUUCGGCGGUUGGGGCUGGACUCGCGGCUUAUCAGCUUGUUGGUGGGGUAGUGGCUUACCAAGGCUUCGACGGGUAGCCGGCCUGAGAGGGUGACCAGCCACAUUGGGACUGAGAUACGGACCAGACUCCUACGGGAGGCAGCAGUGGGGAAUAUUGCACAAUGGGCGGAAGCCUGAUGCAGCAACGCCGCGUGCGGGAUGACGGCCUUCGGGUUGUAAACCGCUUUCGCCUGUGACGAAGCGUGAGUGACGGUAAUGGGUAAGGAAGCACCGGCUAACUACGUG
rnacentral:rRNA from 1 species